GCCAGCGUGGAAUAGUGGUUUGAGUGCUGGGACUAGGACUCUGGAGACCAGGGUUCGAUUCCCAGCUCGGCCA